AGCCAAUAAAACAAUAUGGCUAUUUAAUUGUUAUAUUUUCUAAUCCAUUGUAUUUAUCAUUGAUAAAACACUAUAAGGAUCUAAGUCAA